GGCAGGGUAGCUCAGUUGGUUAGAGCACAGGACUCAUAAGCCUGGGGUCGACGGUUCAAAUCCGUCCCCUGCUA
rnacentral:tRNA from 1 species